AAUUGCAAUUGGCCGAAAUCGCGAAGAAACACGUAAAAAUCAUUGUUUUCAAGAUUUUUAUCUGGGUUUGUAAUAAAAAUUUAAACAAUACAUUUUAAAUGCAUAUAUAUAUAAGAUAUGAGAAUCACACUGACGUCUCGAAGUUUCAACAACUAUAGAUGUUGAACCUGCUUUGCUUUAACUCGAGGCGAAGAUGACCGACUAAGACUGAGUACAGUACGGGAAUAUACGGUUUGGUAUAAUGACCCAAGUAAACGUGUGUGAGUGCACGCCCAACUCAAGGCAAGCAGAAAGAUUGACGAAGAGAAGAGCGAAGAGUGCCGCUUGGAAACGGAGACGGUAGAGAAUUCCUUUCACCCUACCUACUUUUCGAAGCUUAAAGUAAGAGACUCGAAUCGAAUGGAGGGGGGCGGAUGGUGGAUACCAACGAGGAUAUGCGCAAGAAGGGUGGAGAGUGAGUAAAACGGAGGGAAGGAGAGUAAAAAAUACUCAAGAAUGAUAAAGAACGAAAAUUGUGGGAGUGAAAAAAGAAGGUUAAAGGGAACGGGGGACAUAAUUGAGCGAAUUGAUAUUCGAACGAAACAGAAAAAUUAAGAGAUGACAAUUGCACCGCUUGAAAAAUACGAGAUUUUUCCUUUUUGAAAUAAAAAUAUAACAAAAAUCAACCCAAAGAAUGGAAGAAAGCAGGAGGAAAAAGAAAUAGAAGAAGAAGCAGGAGAAGAGAAAAAAUAAGAAGAAGGUUAAAGACUAAAUUCACACGAGUGAGCAAACGAACAAGUGAAGGAACGAGGGAGCAAAAUAACAGAAGAGAGACGGAGAAUGACGAGAAUGGAACGAAGACGAAGUGGCACGAGCCCGUUGGUGGAUGCCAUGCGGCAUGAAGCGAACUGCAGGUCAAUCCGGUCAUCGGCCCCUAUGUGUUCCCAAGGGCCACUGUUAAGGGUUUCAUGAUAUUUCUCUUUUGUCUAAAUCUCCGUCCCAUCAUUCUAUUCAUUAUUUCUUUGCACGUACGUACUAACGCAUUUUAAAAUAACGCUAACCUAUAUCGAUAUACCGUAUCAACCUAUAAAUCGUAUAUCACAAACUAAAUUUAUUCAGCAUAGUUUAUUCUAUUGAUCGAUUAAUCGCAGGUGCAUCAAUUAAUUACAGUCGGCGUUUAUUUAUUUAUUAUAUGUAGUUAAAAAGAUUUGUAUAAUUAACGAAAUCUAAUGAACGAAAAGUUAUGUAAUGUAAAACAGAUACAUAGGAACAAAAAUAAAUUUAAUCAAUUUGAUAGUUUGAAAGUUUCAUUAAUGCUCUUAUCAAUAAAGAUUGUAUUAACAAAUUUCAUUGAAUCAUUACCAUAUAUUAUUAUCAAUACUGAAUCAGUCAACAUUGAAUCACUAUUAUGUAUUAUCAAUAUUAAAUUAAUCAAUCAAUAUACUAAAUCACUAUCAAACAUUCACUUAUCAAAGAUUCACAAAAUAUUAUACCAUUUGUUAUAUUAUAUUAUUAAUUGGUAUAUUCUGUAUCUAGACAUAUUCUAUAGGUAUCUUUUGUUAAUUUUAAAAACAAACAGCAAGUUUUUCAUUAUAAUUUUUAAAAGCGUUUAUAUAAUAUAAACGCACUCAUAUAAACGCUACUGACAAUGAACUCAAAUGCAUAAUUGCCAGGAAAAUAUCAAAAUUUUAUUGUACGUAUAUUACUUUCAUUAAGAAAUUAUCACAUUUUUAUAUGUUACCUAACAAUUAUUAUAUGCAUAGUAUAUAUGUAUAUAACUGAAUAUUCUUGCAACCAAAGAUUUCAUUUUUAAUGAAUAUUUAUUAACAUGAAUAGAAAAAUUAACCAGAUUUAUAUUUCUAGUAUUUAAUAUGAGUUUAUUAUAUUCUAGAAAUUUAAUAUAUUAAUUAAUAGUAAUAACAAAUGAAGAUCACUAAAUAGAAAUGCAUAAAUAUGCAUUCAAUAUGGAUAAUUGUUGAUUAAAAAAGCUGAUAGACCGAUAGCUAUGUGCAUGAUAAACGUAUCACCGUAUGUGUACAAUGUACGCUACAUUCACAGAUACUUGAGGAAUCUAUAUAUGGCAAGCUUACGGAACAGCCUAUAUAUUAUAUAUACGUGCGUAAGAACGUAUACGGUGGUCUGGUCUCCACGGCAUAGGCAUAGACAUAGACGAAAUGACGACAUGACAGGUCGACCACGGUGAGGACUGCAAAAGUGGGGGCGCGUAGACAUUUCCUUAUUUAGAAACGGAGAAACGUCUUUGCUUAGUGGAACAGCUACUGCGAGGGAUUUAAUAAAAUUUAAAAAGGUAACCUUCUCUUAUAUGUGUAAGAAUGUAGAAACAGAUUAUUUAAAAGCAACUACAAAGAAAGGAAACAAAAGACGAAGUGCAAACAAUACUUUGAAGAAAUGUUGAUUAUUAUUAUCGACGAUGCAACAAUAAAUAGCUAAAUAAAUAAAUAUAACAAUAAUAAUGAAAUAAAACAUAAUUAAUGGUCAUAAUUAAUAUUAGAAUAAUAAUAAUUCCAUUACAAUAAAAGAAGUAAACAAGUUACUAAAUUACGACAGGUAUGCUGGUACGGUCAUGAAUAAUAUUUGAAUAAAAUACAUAUUAUCUGUAAUAGAUUAAAUUGUUUUAAAAGUUUAUGAAAAAUAUAGUUAUCUAUAUAUUAUUCCUUUCUUAUCGUCAAUAUCUCAACUUGUUUCUUAAAUGAACUAAUAUACGAAACUUUGAACAUAAUAAUUAUUUAUUCAUACAAUACGACAUUUUUUUAAAUUUUGAACAUUCAAAUCUAUUAAUUUCUGCAUACGAAAUACGCAUGUAAUUCUCGAUAUGCAUCUAUAAAUAUGUAUAUAGACAUAGAAUGUCAGAUAUAUGUACUUUCAAUUUUCACUGCACUACUCAAUCCACUACAUUUUAAUCGUAAUUUCAUUCACAAUACAAUACACUCUUAUAGAUAGAAUUGCAUUAAUGUUUUCAGAUAUUAUACUCAUGUUUAUAAUGACUUUCUAAAUGAAUGAACCUGAAAAAAAAUAUUUGUAAUGUUUAAUGAAAUAACUAUUAUCCGCAUUCGUACAUUCAGAUAAGGAGUAUAGAUAUACUUAAUGAUUAAAUUUAAAAUAUGUACUUAUGUAUUAAAUUUUAAUAUUAUAAAAAAUUCUUAUGUUUAACAUAUCUUAAAUCUCGUUCGUGGUUUCAAGUAAUUUGGAAGAAUUUAAUGUUCACGUUAAGCAAACAAUUUUCAUCCUAUAUUUACGUAAAAUAAAUAUGUUUCUCGAAAAAUUAAAAAAUCAGAAAAUUGUUCAUCUUAUUUAUAAUAACAAUGAGAUAACAUUAAAAAGAGAAAUUAAUUAAGUCGAAUAAGUAUAAUGACGUUUAGAAGGGAAUAUUAUAGAAAGAUCAUGAUAUAAUGAUAUAGCUAUUUGGAAAAGAUAUUGUACUUAUAUACCUAUGUAUAUCAAAGAAAAAAUAAAAAUUCUACUUUUAUUUUGGGUGCAGUCUAAGUUCAACUCUCAUAUUACAUAUCAUUUAAUUGUUAAUAUUCAAAUUAAUUGUAGGAAUUUUCUGAUUAUCUGAUUAUAAUUUUACAUUCAUAUUCUUACGUUUAAAAUAAUAUUCGGCGUUCGCUGAAGGAUUUUUGUAUAAAAUUUUCUAAUUACGUACAACAUAUUACGAAUAAAAUUUCACUCAUCUAAGGCGUAUUUUAAAAAGUAAAUGUCGAUCAUGAAGAAAUAGUACCUUUCUAAAUAUUACAAAAUAUUAAACUUAGUUAUAUUCAUUUAUAAAAAAAGUAUUAUGAUUCUAUAUUGAUUUAAGCUUUUGUUCUGUAUCGAUAAUAUUAAAACCGAUCAUAACUUGUUAGAAUGAUCUAAAACGCAUUAGUGUAGUACAACGUACAUAUCUAUAUGUAAACUAUAUAAGUUUGCUAAUCGUCAUUUAAUAUAUUAUAUAGAUCCACCACUUGUAAUUUAAUACUUCACUAACAGUUAUCGAAGAUUUAUCACAACAACUUGUUAUCAAAUGAUUACGAUCUUAUGUACUGUUGACAUUAAGCGCGUGGUACACUUGAAAUCUCCACAUUAUAAAGUGGUUAUCGUAUCAGAUAAAAUUUAUUUAAAUGUAAAUCGCUAUUACGGUCGAAAACCUUAAGUAUUUAGGUAAUCCAACGACAUUAGAAGAAGUUAAGAAUGAACGGGAUUAAAUAUAUCAGUGGAAAAAAUAAUAAUAUCUUUCCGUUUCGGUAAGUAUUUAUGUAAACUGUGCCUACGUACGAUAUCGACCGCGAUCGCUAACGGGUAUGUGUAACCUCUUCGCUGAAGUAAAAGGAAGAGAAGUAAAGAGGAACAAAGAAGAAAGAAGGAAUGCGGCCGCUACCGCCUUUGCAACCACUGCUGUCGCUAUUGCUGCUGUCGCCUUGCUACUUAUCAUUACGACAUACUAAAGAAAACAAUCAGAAAAGAAAAGAAGAGUAGAGUCUUUGCAAUUGUCUUCUGAUACUCUAGUGAUAGCUGCGAGUACGAACAUUUGCCAUUCAACAUGCUAAGAUUAUCAAAGGGAAACGAAGAAAGUAUAAACACGUGGUUCUCUGCUUUCGAGGAAAUCGUUUCUUCUUUACCCACCUUACUUCCCUUUUGUCGACUAAUAACACACACACACACAUACACUCUUUCUCUCCAUCUUUCUCAUUGGAUGUGUUUACGAGAAAUUGUACUUGCUCAUGUAUGUAUUUUUAUUUUUACGUACAGACCAUCGUUUCAGUGUCUUUUUCAUUAAAAGCUAAUUAAUAACUUGUCACAUACUGCAAAUUCACUAUACGCACAAAAUUAAGUAUAUGUAUAUACAUACUUAUAUAUUUGUUCGUUCGGUUAAAGUCAGGAGAAAUAAUUUAGAUAUUUUUGAAUAAAAAUAGUAAUACAUAAAUAUCAAUUCUAGUUACUGAUUUCACCAGUUGUAUUUUUAUAGCGAAAAGAAUAUAAUUUUUGUGAAUAUAUGGAAACAAUUUCUAAAGUUUAUUUAAUCGAAUAAGUAUAAAUGUCGUAUAUCAACCUUGGAAACAUUACACAUAUACCUAUUUAUUUAGAUUAUACCAAAAAUCUAUGCAUAUUGAAAAUCAAAUCAACCGGAUAUUACAGUGUUAUUCGUUAAACUUUAUGUCAAUUUCAUUAAUAGUAAUGAGCGCAAAUAUAGGUACUAUGCAAGCCGCAAACAAAAAAAAAUUUGAUCAAAUAUAAGGACAAUUUCAUAAAAUUUCAUUACACAAAAAGUUAAACAUAAAUUAGGAUGUAAUAAAUUCUUUAAUAAAUUUAUUGAAAACAUUGGAAGUUCUUCACUACUACAUUUAGUAAUUGUUAGUAGUAGCAGUCCUUAGAAAUACAUAUAAGUAGACUAUUUACAUUUGUAACAUAUUCUGGCAGAUUAUGGUCGUGUUUUAAUGUUUUGAAUACUUGUAAACAGAUCAGGUCAAGUGCAAGCAAGAAAUUGAAUAACAGGGAAACAGUUACCGGAGAGAACGAAUAGUGAAAAUGAGAAUGUGAAAUAUGUAAGUUUACUGGAAGCUUACUUAUCGACAAGCUUUAAACGGAACAAAAGUUCCAAAAAUAUGAAAAUAUUAUUGGUAUAAUCGACCUCAAUAUAUGUAAGUACACACCAUUGUUAAUCUCUAAAACUAUCGCUUCUCACUUGCUUGAAAAGUUUUAUGUGAAUGUAUUUUACGCGAAAAGAUAUUGAUCGAAGAUGCAAUAGCAAAAUAUAGCAGUGCCCUUUAUAAUCAUUACUGAAAUUAAAUCGUUACUUAAAAAUGAACAAAAAGCAAAUGAAGAUUGAAGAAAUUAUUCUUAAUGCAUUGUUUUAAUGUUUAUAUCUGACUUACAUACUUCAUUAAAAUCUAGAUAGAUAUGUUUGAUCUAAAUGAGAUUAUCAGUAUACAUAUAGAUAGGAAAAGCUCGAUUUCCUUGAAGUAUGUAUGAAUUGUUCCGUGAGAUGUGAUACGACACUAAUCAAUCUAUUAUAUUUGAGACCGUGUAUGAUUUCAUACGUUUCCAUUUGAAAUGAUUAAGCACAACGACCUAGUAGCAGAAGAAAACUAGACCUCGUGUCUGUCCAAGUUUUCGCUAGACAGUUUCGAAAGGACGCGCUUGACAACGAGUUCUAUUCACGCCACUAGGUCACCGAGAAAACUUGCUACGUCGUGUUCGAAAUAGAUCUUUCGAACACGAUUGCAAUACGGUUGAGCCAUCAUGAACUAUGCAUUACGAUGAACAACAUUGUGCAGAGACUCCAGGUCUACAUCAUAACGUGUUAUGACAUGUUUGUUCUCUUCAAUUUUUCGCUAAUUUUCUUUCACUACGUUUAAUACUACAUGUCCGUCCUCAAUUGUAAGCUAGUUCAACUUUUAGCAGGCAAGAGAAGUUUAGGUCGGAGAGAAGCUCCUUAUACGAUAAAAUCCUUGUCGAAAAGAUCGUUUAGAAUGUAACAGAAGACUAACUGCGUGCAAUGCAAACCGUACUUUCGUCUGAAGGCGUCGUACACCAGAGCACAGAUAGAUGCGUCAAAAUCAUGACUAUAUCCUUGUAGGAAUGCGCGAGAUCAGAGAGCUUUCGCAAAACCGGUUCUUGUCGUAAACGUCAUUUGACACAUUUCCUGUGAAACAGUAUAGACGACUAAAAUGCACAUACGCUUUAAAUAAUGUUAUUUUCAAGCAAAUCAAAAAUAACAGAGAAGCUUUCACCUAAUUUUCCAAAUAUUGAGUAAAAAAAUCUAUGCAUACAUUUAUUUGUUAUAGUUACUAAAAUAAUAGUUACUAUAAUAAUUAUAGUUAUUAAAAUAACACGUAUUUAGUUGCAAAAAUGACAAAAAUUACUUUUAAAUUUAUUAUUUUUCUAUAUGUAAAUCACAUACUACGAAGUAACUAUGUAUCUGUUAUUUACAAAUGCAAAUACAAGUUACAAUCACAAAUAAUAGGAAUCUAUGAUUGUAGACACUACCAGAACUAUUAUUUACAAAGUUACUUUUAAACACUAAUCAUUAUGAGUUGUGUUAAAUAAAUACGAAUAUUACCAAUUACAUAAUUAUUAUAUAAUUAUAGUAUAAAAAUAAAUAUAUAUACCCUUUAACCAUAAAUACAUAUAUAGUAAGUGAUUGUUUCGAUGCAGUAAUAAUAUGCUCUUUAGAUAUAGGUUAUGUAUUUCCCUUCCGAGAGUUAAAUGCUCGUAUUAAGUAUAAUUUUACUACUGACAAUAAGUCGCGAUAGAAAAAUCAUUUUAUGAUUUCUUGUGUAUUAAAUUAUUCAAUUAGAUUCACUGCGAAUAUGUUUGCGUAUACAUAGCAAAAUGACACAUAUAGUAAAAAUGCUAAAAAUAUGAAAUAAAUAUUGACAAACAUAUUUCGAACGAUAUUAAAGUAUUUUAGAAAAUAUAUAAAUAGCAGCUCUUUCAUAAAAUGAUAUUUCAUAAUUAGAAGGUAUUAUUUCCAAAGUAUGGUUUUUGUUCAAGUUUUAGGUACUUAAAAUAAAUUAAUUCGUAAAGAAACCAAAUAAUAAUUUAACCAGAUAUACAAAAAAUAUAUAUUUUACUUUAUAAUUCGUGCUUUAUUGUAAUAACAGUGCUAUUAAAUUAUAUGUAUUUCCACGUGA